rnacentral:rRNA from 1 species
GAUGAACGCUAGCGGCAGGCUUAACACAUGCAAGUCGAGGGGCAGCACGGGUAGCAAUACCUGGUGGCGACCGGCGCAAGGGUGCGUAACGCGUGAGCAACAUGCCCUAUACAGGGGGAUAAUCCAGGGAAACUUGGUCUAAUAUCCCAUAGUAUUUAGAGGAGGCAUCUUCUAUAAAUUAAAGCUUCGGUGGUAUAGGAUUGGCUCGCGUGACAUUAGCUAGAUGGUGAGGUAACGGCUCACCAUGGCAAUGAUGUCUAGGGGUUCUGAGAGGAAGGCCCCCCACACUGGGACUGAGACACGGCCCAGACUCCUACGGGGGGCAGCAGUGAGGAAUAUUGGACAAUGGAUGGAAAUCUGAUCCAGCCAUGCCGCGUGCAGGAAGACAGCCCUAUGGGUUGUAAACUGCUUUUAAUGGGAGCAAUAAGGUCUACGUGUAGACUGAUGAGAGUACCAUAUGAAUAAGCAUCGGA